AACUGCCCACCAAUGUGGCAGAAGCAGCAGUGCUCCCCAGGGUCUUCCCAGCUUGUCUGGAGCCAUGAAUGCUUGGCAAAGGUGCUGGAGACAAGGCUGAAAGGGCACAGAGGCUGAGGGCAGCGUGCGGGAUGUGCUGUGCAGUGCUGUGCUGCAGGAGCGGGCGCAGAGGGAUUCCCCACCCCUGUACCAGAGUCAGCAGCAGAGAUUACAGGUGUCCAAGAGCAGAAGCUGAGGUGAAGCUCUGCUGUUUCAGGGCCAUCUCACAAAGAAACGUGAGCUGCCUGGCUAAAGUGCAAGUUUUCGGCAGAGUGGUCUGGGAUUUAUUUAUUGGAUGGCUUGCAGCUAUUUAACCAGGGCACAAACGAGCUCAGGUGUCGGUGAGCUCCAAGAAACCACUACUUAAAGCAUCACGUGUCCUUCUGCUUGGUAGGGUAUCAUCACUGCAAGAGUGGAAUGUUCUGCACGGGGCAGAGUGUGGGAUCCAAGGAUCCCAGUGACAUCAAGGACAUUUCGCCGUGAUAAUACUGCCCAUAGUGCCUUCAACAAAUGCAGCCUUAAACUUUGUAUUUGGCUCAUUCAAAUGGAAAAGAUUGUCAUGUUUCAUAUUAUCAAGGAGGAGAUCCAAAAUUGUUGUCAGUCAAUGAGGGUGUAUAGGAAAUGUUGAGUCCCAGCCUGAAGCACUGAUGGAGCACCUGGGGAAAAGGACCUGGUCAGCCCUGGGAGCACAGGUGAAGGCAGUUCAGCUGUGUGAUAAGAAGGGCUGGAGCCUGCCUGUGCCUCUCUUAGACCUCAUUGAAGGGUUGACUGCCACUGGGGGAGGAUUUCUCGUUGGAGAUCUCUCUCUUAUGGAGUCUUCCUUGCAGCUUGGAUCUUUAGAGAUUGGUGAGUACCUUUACUUUUCUUUAGAAAUGCCAUCCUAUCCCUGCAGGGUCCUUUGCUGUUUUGCUU
rnacentral:lncRNA from 1 species